rnacentral:rRNA from 1 species
GGUUGCGAUCAUACCAGCACUAAUGCACCAGAUCCCAUCUGGACUGGAUAGUUAAGCGUGCUUGGGUGAGAGUAGUAGUAGGAUGGGUGACCCCCUGGGAAGUCCUCGUGUUGCAACUC